CCCUUAGACGUUCUGGGACGCACGCGCGCUACACUGACCAGUGCAACAAGCAUCCGUCCUUGGCCGACAGGCCCGGGCAAUCUUUGAACGCUGGUCGUGAUGGGGAUAGACUUUUGCAAUUUUUGGUCUUCAACGAGGAAUUCCUAGUAAACGCAAGUCAUCAACUUGCAUUGAUUACGUCCCUGCCCUUUGUACACACCGCCCGUCGCACCUACCGAUUGAAUGGUCCGGUGAAGCCUCCGGAUUGGCGCGCACCUCGGUGCCGCCGAGAAGUUGGCUAAACCUUACCAUUUAGAGGAAGGUGAAGUCGUAACA
rnacentral:rRNA from 1 species